UAGGGAAUCUUCGGCAAUGGGGGGAACCCUGACCGAGCAACGCCGCGUGAGUGAAGAAGGUUUUCGGAUCGUAAAGCUCUGUUGUUAAGGAAGAACGAGUGUGAGAAUGGAAAGUUCAUGCUGUGACGGUACUUAACCAGAAAGGGACGGCUAACUACGUGCCAGCAGCCGCGGUAAUACGUAGGUCCCGAGCGUUGUCCGGAUUUAUUGGGCGUAAAGCGAGCGCAGGCGGUUAGAAAAGUCUGAAGUGAAAGGCAGUGGCUCAACCAUUGUAGGCUUUGGAAAAUGUUUAAGUUGAGGGCAGAAGGGGAGAGUGGAAGUCCAUGUGUAGCGGUGAAAUGAGUAAGUAUAUGGAGGAACACCGGUGGCGAAAGCGGCUCUCUGGUCUGUAACUGACGCUGAGGGUCGGAAGCGGGGGGAGCGAACAGG
rnacentral:rRNA from 1 species